rnacentral:rRNA from 1 species
UGGGGAAUAUUGGGCAAUGGGCGAAAGCCUGACCCAGCGACGCCGCGUGGGUGAUGAAGGCCUUCGGGUUGUAAAGCCCUGUCAUGCGGAAAGAACGACCCUGUGACGCAUACUCACAGGGAGUGACGGUACCGCAGGAGGAAGCACCGGCUAACUCCGUGCCAGCAGCCGCGGUAAUACGGAGGGUGCAAGAGUUGUUCGGAAUUAUUGGGCGUAAAGGGCGCGUAGGCGGUAAUGUAAGUCAGAUGUGAAAUACUCCGGCUCAACCAGAGAACAGCAUCUGAGACUGCAUAACUAGAGUACAGAAGAGGGAAACGGAAUUCCCGGUGUAGAGGUGAAAUUCGUAGAUAUCGGGAGGAACACCAGUGGCGAAGGCGGUUUCCUGGUCUGAUACUGACGCUGAGGCGCGAAAGCGUGGGGAGCAAACAG